UACAGAGGUCUCAAGCGUUGUUCGGAUUCAUUGGGCGUAAAGGGUGCGUAGGCGGCGCGGUAAGUCGGGUGUGAAAUCUUGGAGCUUAACUCCGAAACUGCAUUCGAUACUGCCUUGCUCGAGGACUCGAGAGGAGAUUGGAAUUCACGGUGGUAGCAGUGAAAUGCGUAGAUAUCGUGAGGAAGACCAGUGGCGAAGGCGGAUCUCUGGAGAGUUCCUGACGCUGAGGCACGAAGGCCAGGGGAGCAAACGGGG
rnacentral:rRNA from 1 species